rnacentral:rRNA from 1 species
UACGUAGGGGGCAAGCGUUGUCCGGAAUCAUUGGGCGUAAAGAGCGUGUAGGCGGCCCGGUAAGUCCGCUGUGAAAGUCCAGGGCUCAACCCUGGGAUGCCGGUGGAUACUGUCGGGCUCGAGUCCGGAAGAGGCGAGUGGAAUUCCUGGUGUAGCGGUGAAAUGCGCAGAUAUCAGGAGGAACACCGGUGGCGAAGGCGGGUCUCUGGGCCGAUACUGACGCUGAGGAGCGAAAGCGUGGGGAGCGAACAGG